rfam:Oryza meridionalis cultivar OR44 (W2112) chromosome 1, whole genome shotgun sequence.
UCCCAAUGCACUCACGAAUUUCCGUACCUCAUCCAUUUUAUUUAUAUUUUUUUAUAAUUAGUAUUUUUAUUUUUAUGAGAUGAUAAAACAUGAAUAAUAUUUUAUGCGUGGCUUAUUUUUAUUUUUUAAAAAACUUUUAAAUAAGACGGACGAUCAAAGUUAAGUAUGAAAAAAUAUGAUUGCACUUAAG